GGGCGGCAGGUAGUCUAGUGGUUAGAGCAGGUAGUCUAGUGGUUAGAGCAGGUAGUCUAGUGGUUAGAGCAGGUAGUCUAGUGGUUAGAGGGGAGGCAGGUAGCCUAGUGGUUAGAGCAGCUAGCCUAGUGGUUAGAGCAGGUAGCCUAGUGGUUAGAGCAGGUAGCCUAGUGGUUAGAGCAGGUAGCCUAGUGGUUAGAGCAGGUAGCCUAGUGGUUAGAGCAGGUAGCCUAGUGGUUAGAGCAGGUAGCCUAGUGGUUAGAGGGGCG
ensembl:lncRNA